rnacentral:rRNA from 1 species
AACGAACGCUGGCGGCAGGCCUAACACAUGCAAGUCGAACGCCCUGGCAACAGGGAGUGGCAGACGGGUGAGUAACGCGUGGGAACGUGCCCUUCGGUUCGGAAUAACUCAGGGAAACUUGAGCUAAUACCGGAUACGUGCGAGAGCAGAAAGAUUUAUCGCCGAAGGAUCGGCCCGCGUCCGAUUAGCUAGUUGGUGAGGUAAUGGCUCACCAAGGCGACGAUCGGUAGCUGGUCUGAGAGGAUGAUCAGCCACACUGGGACUGAGACACGGCCCAGACUCCUACGGGAGGCAGCAGUGGGGAAUAUUGGACAAUGGGCGCAAGCCUGAUCCAGCCAUGCCGCGUGAGUGAUGAAGGCCCUAGGGUUGUAAAGCUCUUUCGCCAGGGACGAUAAUGACGGUACCUGGAUAAGAAGCCCCGGCUAACUUCGUGCCAGCCGCCGCAGUAA